rnacentral:tRNA from 1 species
GCAUUGGUGGUUCAGUGGUAGAAUUUCUAACCUAGCAUGUAGGGUGCGGGAACAAUUCCGGCCCAAUGCA